CAUAGCCAUUGCCCAAAUGUUCUGAUUUGGACAAGCCCUUUAUUGAACACUGUAUGUGGGAGAAAGUAACCUUUAAGCAGUAUUUUGCUAUGAAUAAAUAAGAGCUUGAAGAGAUGUGAAGAACUACUUCGCAUGUGUUUUACGUGUCCAGGGACAGGAAUCCCUACCUGAGAGCUGAGAUGCCUUGCUUGUGUUUCCCCUGUAUGGGUAGCAGGUGCCACACAAUUUCAUUAGCUGUCAUGGACGCUAUGGAGCUGACACGGCUCCAUAAUGGAGCUGCUUUUUCAUAAGCCAGUAAAUCACCUGAUACAGUAAAAUGAGAACUUGAUUAAGGAGCUGCAGCAUCACUGUAAUGUAACAUUUCACUGACUACAGUUCUGAGUAUUUGAAAGGAAAAUUGGAAUCCAGGUUCACAGCUGCCGAGACUUCAGCAGAUGUGAUCACACUGCUAGACAGUGUGGCCAUGACCUCUGAUGAAUUGCUGUAGUGGAGCAGUGCAGUGUUUCUUUUGUUGAUUUUGUUCCCCAAGCCUGAUCUGAUUGUUUGAACUAAUUACCGAAGAGACUUACAAAUGAAUGUACCCACGUUCCUGGGGUUUGGGUUCCUGCGGGAAAGCACGCUGAAAAUAGUGCUGUCACCUUGCAGCAGCAGUGGUCACUCCAUUAGAACGGCUGAUUGAUAGUGGGAGGUGUGCAAAGCAUAGAGGUGUGCAAGUAACUGCCAGGAGACGUCAUUUGGGGCUGUACGGAAUCUGAGCCAGAUCUCAUCUGAACUGUCAAGAAAAGCAAUUACCUUAUUAUGGAGGUAUACGAGAUGAUUGGUGAGUCAGCCUUCACAUAUGCACACAUUUUCCCAUGUGGUCUCCCGAUCCAUUGCAUUUGCAGUCUCCCGUUUAAGCCUGUGAAUACUAUGCUGAAAACUCAUAGUAAUAAAAUUUAUCAUUAACAUAAAAAUCUUCCAAAAAGGGUUAUUUGGGGUCAGUCAUUUGAAGGUAAAACAAUACUUUUCAUUUUUCUCUUUGACUAGUCUUUAACUGAAUUAAACAAAUUCUGCUCUGAAAAAAAAAUCCAUUUGUAUC